GCCUGGGUGGCGGAAUUGGUAGACGCAAGGGACUUAAAAUCCCUCGGUCAUUAUGGCUGUACGAGUUCGAUUCUCGUCCCAGGCACCA
rnacentral:tRNA from 1 species